GAAACCGUAUGAAUGUACAGAAUGUG
rnacentral:piRNA from 1 species